CCAUCCUCAGAUAGAUAGCUCCAUAGUUGAUCCACCUCUGGACCUCAGAUAGUUGUUCUUCAGUGAGAUGAUUUACUGUCGGGCCAUGAGGGCAGUGUACCCUCUGCAUACGAGCACCUCAGGGCCUGCGCCAAGCUACCUGCACCUUUAGACUUGUCUGGGUGGUGCCCUCUAGUUCUCCUAAACUGUCUCCCAGAGCUGAUUCUCACCUAGGGCCGUGGCAGGACGAUGGGAACUCCAAACAGCAGCCCAGAUGUACGGAGUCAAGUGAAGGAGAACACAGGAAGUCAACUGGCUUUCCCAGAAUUCCAGUUCCUAGAAGACUAUUCUUCCUUGAGUUCUGUGGCUUAGCUUUGUUCCUGGGCUGGAGCUAGUCUUGUCUGCACAUGUACCCAGCACUAUGUUGGUGAAGGAAAUGAAGGUCCCAGGGGAGUCCCUUCCACUAGCUCAG
rnacentral:lncRNA from 1 species